UCCUAGACAACAAUGUUUGGAGGUUUGUAAUAAUACCAGACAACAAUGUUUGGAGGUUUGUAAUAAUUCCAGACAACAAUGUUUGGAGGUUUGUAAUAAUCCCAGACAACAAUGUUUGGAGGUUUGUAAUAAUCCCAGACAACAAUGUUUGGAGGUUUGUAAUAAUCCCAGACAACAAUGUUUGGAGGUUUGUAAUAAUCCCAGACAACAAUGUUUGGAGGUUUGUAAUAAUCCCAGACAACAAUGUUUGGAGGUUUGUAAUAAUCCCAGACAACAAUGUUUGGAGGUUUGUAAUAAUCCCAGACAACAAUGUUUGGAGGUUUGUAAUAAUCCCAGACAACAAUGUUUGGAGGUUUGUAAUAAUCCCAGACAACAAUGUUUGGAGGUUUGUAAUAAUCCCAGACAACAAUGUUUGGAGGUUUGUAAUAAUCCCAGACAACAAUGUUUGGAGGUUUGUAAUAAUCCCAGACAACAAUGUUUGGAGGUUUGUAAUAAUCCCAGACAACAAUGUUUGGAGGUUUGUAAUAAUCCCAGACAACAAUGUUUGGAGGUUUGUAAUAAUCCCAGACAACAAUGUUUGGAGGUUUGUAAUAAUCCUAGACAACAAUGUUUGGAGGUUUGUAAUAAUCCCAGACAACAAUGUUUGGAGGUUUGUAAUAAUCCCAGACAACAAUGUUUGGAGGUUUGUAAUAAUCCCAGACAACAAUGUUUGGAGGUUUGUAAUAAUCCCAGACAACAAUGUUUGGAGGUUUGUAAUAAUCCCAGACAACAAUGUUUGGAGGUUUGUAAUAAUCCCAGACAACAAUGUUUGGAGGUUUGUAAUAAUCCCAGACAACAAUGUUUGGAGGUUUGUAAUAAUCCUAGACAACAAUGUUUGGAGGACAGCUAGAAUUGCCUUCAUACAGCAUUUUCAUGACCUCAUGCAACAGUGGUGUCCCCAGGGUUUGAAUAAUGUAUUGAAUUCAGGAGUUGUUAUGGAAAUAGUGGGUGGCCCAUGGUAAUGUUUCUAACGCUUAUAAGGACUAGUGCUCUGAUUUGUUAUGGGAGUGCUUAUAGUAGCACCCAUAGAAAUAUAAUCGCUAGAACGGCCACCCCUUUACAAGUCAAUGAUGCCAUAACUGGUAGCCAUUUUGAGUUUCCCCCAUGAGUUUACCAGUCAAAUGAGAGGCUCCAGACCCGUUCUAAUGAUUCUAUUUCUACGGUAGCACCUCCAUCCUUCCAACCCUGGUUGUUCUCUCACACUGCCGCCCUGUCCCCGUCCC